CACACACAGUUAAAAUAUAAGGACUGCAUAAAUAUCUUCAAAUGUCAUAUACACUUUGGCGACAUGCAUCUUGAAAAGAGAAAGAGAGGAAGAAUUCACAAUUGAGAGACAGAGAGAGGGAGGGUAGAGAGAAAAGAGAUAGAGAGGAGGGAAGGAGAAAGGGAGGAAGGAAAUUGGAAAAACAUGACAAAUGCACUCAAAAAACCUAUAAUUUCACACAUGCACAGGGCAAUAAUUAAAGGUGCUGAAAGUGAUGUUUGCCCUCACUCAAAACAGUGGUAAUACCCCACGCCUAUAUAAUUACCUCA